AAGGGGGCAACAUACCUGCUGUGGAAUUCUUGCCAAAAAUGCAUAACCUCAAUCUAAUUGUAAGAAAAUAUCAGACAAAUAUUUUAUUAUUUUGUUAUAUCAGGAUUUGUUUGUCCAUUCUAAUUGAGAACAUAAGGGCUGUUUCUAGUUUUUUGUUAUGAUACAUAAUAUAGCUUUGAACAUUCUUGUUUGCCUCAUUGCGCCCACAUGUAAGAGUUUCUCCUGAGCACAUGCCCAGUAAAUGGAAUUUCUGAGUCAUAGGGCACAUCCAUUUCAGGUGUUCUAGAUAAUGCCAAAUUGGUUUCCAAAAUCAAUACACCAAUUUGGAGUCCUAUCAGCCGUGUGUAAGGUUGCUUAUUGCUCCACAUCCUUGCCAUCUUUUGAUUGUGUCAAACUUAACUCCUUUUUUUUUUUUUUUUUUGCAAUAUGGUGGGUAUAAAAUUAUCUCAUUAUGGUUUGAAUUUGCCUUUCCCUGUUAAGUAGUGAGACUGUGCUUCUGUUCGUGUUUCUGUGGGUUGUAUACUCAUGAAAUGUAUGUAUGUGUUUUUCUUCCAUUUUUCUCACGGGUUGUUUGGUAUUUCUUUAUUUUUUUCUUUUUUUUUUUUGAGACAGAAUCUCGAUGCAUUGCCCAGGCUGGAGUGCAGGGGUGAUCUCGGCUCACUGCAACCUCCACCUCCUGGGCUCCAGUGAUUCUCGUGCCUUAGACUCCUGAGUAGCUGGGAUUACAGGCACAUACCACCACACCUGGCUAAUUUUUGUAUUUUUUUAGUAGAGACAGGGUUUCACCAUCUUGGCCAGGCUGGUCUCCCACUCCUGACCUCAAAUGAUCUGCCCACCUCAGCCUCCCAAAGUGCUGGGAUUACAGGUGUGAGCCACUGUGCCCGGCUGAGUUGUUUGGUAUUUCUUACUUAUUUGUAGAAGUUAGUUAUGUUUUUCUCAGUUA
rnacentral:lncRNA from 10 species